rnacentral:rRNA from 1 species
AGUGAACGCUGGCGGCAGGCCUAACACAUGCAAGUCGAGCGGCAGCGCGGGGGCAACCCUGGCGGCGAGCGGCGGACGGGUGAGGAAUUCGUCGGAAUCUGCCUUUUUGUGUGGGAUAACGUAGGGAAACUUACGCUAAUACCGCAUACGUCCUACGGGAGAAAGUGGGGGACCGCAAGGCCUCACGCAGAAAGAUGAGCCGACGACCGAUUAGCUAGUUGGUGGGGUAAAGGCCCACCAAGGCGACGAUCGGUAGCUGGUCUGAGAGGAUGAUCAGCCACACUGGGACUGAGACACGGCCCAGACUCCUACGGGAGGCAGCAGUGGGGAAUAUUGGACAAUGGGCGCAAGCCUGAUCCAGCCAUGCCGCGUGUGUGAAGAAGGCCUUCGGGUUGUAAAGCACUUUUGUCCGGAAAGAAAUCCCUGGAGCUAAUACCUUCGGGGGAUGACGGUACCGGAAGAAUAAGCACCGGCUAACUUCGUG